CUUCCGUAGGGGUGACCUGCGGAGGGAUCAUUGCUGGAACGCGCCCCAGGCGCACCCAGAAACCCUUUGUGAACUUAUACCUUACUGUUGCCUCGGCGCUAGCUGGUCCUCCGGGGCCCCUCCUUCUGGAGGAGCAGGCACGCCGGCGGCCAACCCAACUCUUGUUUUUACACUGAAACUCUGAGAAUAAAACAUAAAUGAAUCAAAACUUUCAACAACGGAUCUCUUGGUUCUGGCAUCGAUGAAGAACGCAGCGAAAUGCGAUAAGUAAUGUGAAUUGCAGAAUUCAGUGAAUCAUCGAAUCUUUGAACGCACAUUGCGCCCUCUGGUAUUCCGGAGGGCAUGCCUGUUCGAGCGUCAUUUCAACCCUCAAGCCUGGCUUGGUGAUGGGGCACUGCUUCUUACCCGAGAAGCAGGCCCUGAAAUUCAGUGGCGAGCUCGCCAGGACCCCGAGCGCAGUAGUUAAACCCUCGCUCUGGAAGGCCCUGGCGGUGCCCUGCCGUUAAACCCCCAACUUCUGAAAAUUUGACCUCGGAUCAGGUAGGAAUACCCGCUGAACUUAAGCAUAUCAAAA
rnacentral:rRNA from 1 species